CUCUUUGAGAAAUGGUCCUGAAAGCCACCCCUGUGAUCUUUACGAAGAAAACUUUUCCCCAUAAAUUAUGAAUACAUUUUUCCUCACAAGUCAAAAACAUCCUCUUUGAUCCACCAUCUGUCUUUACUGAACAAUAUUAGAAAUACUGUAAUAAGGCCAGGCACAGUGGCUCAAGCCUGUAAUCUCAGCACUUUGGGAGGCUGAGGCAGGUGGAUCACCUGAGGUCAGGAGUUCAAGGCCAACCUGACCAACAUGGUGAAACCUCAUCUCUACUAAAAAUACAAAAAUUAGCCAGGCAUGGUGGCAGGCACCUGCAGUCCCAGCUAUUUGGGAGGCUGAGGCAGGAGAAUCACUUGAACCCGGGAGGUGAAGGUUGCAGUGAACUGAGAUCGCACCCUUGUACUCCUGCCUGAGCAACAAGAGCAAAACUCUGUCUCAAAAAAAAAAAAAAUACUAUAAUAAAGACAAAGAGGAAUUAAAGGAAUACUGGUAAAAUGUAAGUUAUCUCCUACAGAAACAUUCCCCAAUCGGGGCAACUGAUGAGACCACAGCAUCUCAACCACCGGCCCUACCAAGACAGACCCGCACGCUGGUCCAGGGCUGCUCGAAGCCUGACACCUCUCAGUGGAGACAUGAAGAAUGCCUUAUGCGUACAUUUCUCUGACUCUUCUCUACAGCCUUUUCUGGUUUCAACUCUAGAUUUCUUUUGUGAUUCCGACUCUGUAUCUGCCUCUCCCACUAGAAUGUAGGCACUGCAAUAUAGCAAGGACUGUGUCUGUUUUUGUGCAACUGUUGACUGAAUGAAUACACAGAUGAAUAAAAGAAUAUCUUCUUGUUACACCAACUCUUAGUAAAAAUGCCUUAUGGGUUUAUGACUCAAUCCCAAGUGUUUUUAGGACAAAACCAUAAGGUAUCCAUAGGAAGGCUAUUACUCUACCUUUUACAAAUAGUCUUUACUGUUUGUUUGUUUAUUUUAUAUUUUAUCCUUUUUAGUAGAGACAGGGGUCUUGCUAUGUCACCCAGGCUGGUCUCAAACUCCUGGCCUCAAGUGAUCCUCCUGCCUUGGCCUCCCAAAGUGCUGAGAUUCCAGGCAUGCACCACAGCACCCAGCCUGUUUCAACUAAGAAGCCAACAUUUCUCCAGCAUCAACAUUACUCCAGUACAAGACUUCCAGCACAUUCUUGUCUCUUCUCAUGUCCUCGCUCUUGGACUUGUCUUCAUUGCACAGCUGAGGAGCCAGGAGCUCCAUGGGGUGAGGUGACAGCCAGGGCACCUGGGCAGCAGACCACAGGGCUAGGACUGUGAUUUCCAGUUUGCCCCUCCACCAACAUCAGCCAUCAAAUCAGCUGACCGCCCUGAUGAGGGUCCAUGUGACAUCUCUUGUACUUCAGAAAGAGUCUUGUUCUCCAAACUGAAUCCUUUUUUCACCCAAAACAUACAAGAAUCUGACCUACCUAACACAUGUAUGUUCCCUGAAAAUAUAUACACCUAUUACGUAUCAAUAAAAAUAGACCAAAA
rnacentral:lncRNA from 1 species